GAUGAACGCUGGCGGCGUGCCUAAUACAUGCAAGUCGAGCGAACAGACGAGGAGCUUGCUCCUCUGACGUUAGCGGCGGACGGGUGAGUAACACGUGGAUAACCUACCUAUAAGACUGGGAUAACUUCGGGAAACCGGAGCUAAUACCGGAUAAUAUAUUGAACCGCAUGGUUCAAUAGUGAAAGACGGUUUUGCUGUCACUUAUAGAUGGAUCCGCGCCGCAUUAGCUAGUUGGUAAGGUAACGGCUUACCAAGGCAACGAUGCGUAGCCGACCUGAGAGGGUGAUCGGCCCCACGAGAACUGAGACACGGUCCAGACUCCUACGGGAGGCAGCAGGAGGGAAUCUUCCGAAAUGGGCGAAAGCCUGACGGAGCAACGCCGCGUGAGUGAUGAAGGUCUUCGGAUCGUAAAACUCUGUUAUUAGGGAAGAACAAAUGUGUAAGUAACUAUGCACGUCUUGACGGUACCUAAUCAGAAAGCCACGGCUAACUACGUG
rnacentral:rRNA from 1 species